UGGCGGACGGGUGAGUAACACGUGAGUAACCUACCUUUCAAAGGGGGAUAACGUCUGGAAACGGACGCUAAUACCGCAUAAUACUAUUUGAGGGCAUCCUUGGAUAGUCAAAGGAGGAAUCCGAUGGGAGAUGGACUCGCGGCUGAUUAGAUAGUUGGCGGGGUAGAGGCCCACCAAGUCGACGAUCAGUAGCCGGACUGAGAGGUUGAACGGCCACAUUGGGACUGAGACACGGCCCAGACUCCUACGGAAGGCAGCAG
rnacentral:rRNA from 1 species